UAUAUAUAUAUAUAUAUAUAUAUAUAUAUAUAUUCACUUAAACUGAGUGAGAUGAACCAGGAUAAAAUUAGAAAAAAGGAUCUCUGAUUUGAAGUACAUGCGAGUGUGUGGUUCUUACUUUUCUUUAUCUCCUUUUAAGUUAUGUAAUAAUAUCAUUUAUCUUGAAUAGUGUCGUCAUCUUCAUGAAUUCAUUACAAAUAUAGAUUCCAUGGGGAGCUUUUGUGUUGAGUGAUACAGUGUACUUGGAUAGUACUAAAUGACACUUCUUGAGCAUCUAAAGGUAUUGUAGGUUUUCCGUCAUUUAUGUGGUUAUUACUAACGUCUUCAGGAAAAGUUAUUGAUCAUGUUACUCAUGUGGCACUUUAUUUUUUGAUUCCCUAAAAUUCGUAGUUUAGAGUAAAAUCUGAUCUCCCUAUUCCUUCCAUAUUUGUAAAAUCAAUCUUUUAACAACAAAACAUCGCACCCUUGAGAAGAACAUAUUUUCACUAUCAGACUCUGAUAAUUAGCAGACUGUUGUUCUUACUUUAUUUUAAUCUUUUUCUUUCAAACAAUCAAUUUUACAUUCUGUUCCACAUGGGAAGAUGAUAGUUCUUGAUUUAUUUGCUGAUGUUUAACCAAUAUGGAAAUCAUCCUCUCAAUUCUAUGGCACUCUUUAUAUCUGGUAAUCAGAGGGUUCUGUGUAGAAACAACUCUGUAUAAUUUGGUUCUUGAAUAUGGUAUUUCACGUAUCAUCAAGCUUGCAUAUCAAUCAACUAUUUUUCUAAUGUUAGUCUAACAAAACAUAAAGUUGUAUGCUGCACGACUUUGUGGGCAACAUUGAAAUGUAUGGAGUGUUAGAUGUAGUGACUUCUAGUCGUUUUGAUGCCCGCACAAGUGAGAACUCAACAAUGGUAACAUCUCCUACCAUUUAAUUAAAAAUAUUUUGUUAUAUACAUUUAGAACCUUAAGCUUUUUAUGAAUUAUGAUUCUAUAUCCUCUUAAAACUGUUGCAUACUAUGAUUUUAUUUGAGUUUUUAAUCCAUUUCCUUGAAUUUGUCGAAUGUCCAUUACUAUUUUUUUUGCUUUCUGGAUACGCUUUGGCAAGUUGGUGUUGGAAUGUGCAUGGAAGGAAUAGAACACAAUCUAGUUGUCUAUGAGCUGAUGCACGAAAUGGCAUUUAGAAGGGGUAAUAACUUCAGGAAGAUGUUGUUGAUUAAAUUUUGAUAUAUAGAGGACAAAAGUACACUCGAUUUAUCGUAUAGAACGAUAAAGAGUUUUUGUGCAAUUAUCAUAAAUGUUGUUUGAAUACAUUUGGUUUUGUGGAAUGUAUUGCUACUAGAGAUCUUGAAGUAAUUGAUUUCUAUAUGUAUUUCUAUAUGUAUGGGACAUGUUGAAGUUUAUUUAAUUCAAAAUAUAUAAUUUUGAAUUAUUUAUAAA